rnacentral:rRNA from 1 species
CGCAUGGCUAGGAGUUGGAAAGAAUUUUGGUCAAGGAUGGACUCGCGGCCUAUCAGCUAGUUGGUGAGGUAAUGGCUCACCAAGGCGACGACGGGUAGCCGGCCUGAGAGGGUGACCGGCCACACUGGGACUGAGACACGGCCCAGACUCCUACGGGAGGCAGCAGUGGGGAAUAUUGCACAAUGGGCGAAAGCCUGAUGCAGCAACGCCGCGUGAGGGAUGACGGCCUCGGUUGUAACCUCUUUAGUAGGGUAAGAAGCGAAAGUGACGGUACCUGCAGAAAAGCACCGGCUAACUACGUGCCAGCAGCCGCGGUAAUACGUAGGUGCGAAGCGUUGUCCGGAAUUAUUGGGCGUAAAGAGCUCGUAGGCGGUUUGUCGCGUCUGCUGUGAAAUCUGGGGGCUCAACCCCCAGCCUGCAGUGGUACGGGCAGACUAGAGUGCGGUAGGGAGAUUGGAAUUCCUGGUGUAGCGGUGGAAUGCGCAGAUAUCGAGGAGGAACACCGAUGGCGAACGG